GACGAACGCUGGCGGCGUGCUUAACACAUGCAAGUCGAACGGAAAGGCCCUGCUUUUGUGGGGUGCUCGAGUGGCGAACGGGUGAGUAACACGUGAGUAACCUGCCCUUGACUUUGGGAUAACUUCAGGAAGCUGGGGCUAAUACCGGAUAGGAGCUCCUGCUGCAUGGUGGGGGUUGGAAAGUUUCGGCGGUUGGGGAUGGACUCGCGGCUUAUCAGCUUGUUGGUGGGGUAGUGGCUUACCAAGGCUUUGACGGGUAGCCGGCCUGAGAGGGUGACCGGCCACAUUGGGACUGAGAUACGGCCCAGACUCCUACGGGAGGCAGCAGUGGGGAAUAUUGCACAAUGGGCGGAAGCCUGAUGCAGCAACGCCGCGUGCGGGAUGAAGGCCUUCGGGUUGUAAACCGCUUUCGCCUGUGACGAAGCGUGAGUGACGGUAAUGGGUAAAGAAGCACCGGCUAACUACGUG
rnacentral:rRNA from 1 species